rnacentral:tRNA from 1 species
AUUUGGAUAGUUUAUUUAAAAAUAUUAGUUUGUGGGACUAAGGAUAUACAAUAAUUGUAUUCUAAAUA